GUUCUUUUCAUUUCCUAUAAAAGUAGACCAUGGAGAGGGGAGCACGUAGAGAGGCACAGCACUUUAUCCACAUCUGUAUAAAUACGAGCCAUCCCUUGAGUUAAGAUCAUCUUUCAUGCCGUAUCUGUAUAUGUAUUUGCCAUUGAUUACUACAAAACACCUCAGCCCACUUGAAAAUCUCCUGAGAAAAUAAAGGAAAAGGGCAAUGGUAGCAGUAGUAGCAAACACCCCACCUCUUUAUUUCUGCUCUUUUUGCCAGAUUUGCUGAGAUCUUCUAUCUUGCUCUAUCACUCACUCCUUUUCUCUGACUCUCAUGAGGAGAGCGACACAUCCCUUCCUCUCUAACGGAGCUCGUCUUCCGUGAUCUCUGCUCUUUCCAAUUUUUACUUUCCCACCUUUCAAAAUAGUACUAGUAAACUUCCCUUCGUUUUUGCUUUUCUUCUCUUUUUCCCUUCUUGUUCCCAGAGUUCUAUAACUUGUUUCUCUUUCAAGAUGCAACUUGCAUGAAUAGGGUUUGAAAAUGGGGUUGAUGCAUUCAGCAGUGGGCUCUAACUCGCCUUCAAGAAGUCUCAGGUGCGAGGGGGCACAUCUCCUGUUUACAGAAAAUAUGUCUUUCUCUGCAUGAUCUACGUGAGUUUGAUGUCUAACUAUAUCGUUUUUUGGUCUUAUGCCCAUCUUUUCUGCAUGUGGUCAUUUUAGUUAUCUCUUUAUAUUGUUUUUAUUCUCUCUCGCUUGACCUCUUCCCUUGACAUUCUGUGCUCACUCACUGGUUAGAGGAUGUAUACAUAUAUGGUCUUCCUGAGUCUAGGGUUGGGGUUUACUGCAGAUGAUGCAUCCAUCUUGGAGAAUGCAAUGUCUAUACUCUUAGAUCAGCAAUAAUUUUAUUAUAAAUUAAAAAAGAAAAGUCUGAUUUAGAUUUACUAAUUUGAUUUUAAGUUGUUUGCCGUCUCUCCUACGAAGCAAUCAACGUUAAAAGGUACUACUAGUAACUGCUUAAUGCCCUUCAUCUGGCACUAAAUAGAUCUAGACUGCCUGCCCUUGAAUUUCUUAUCUAAUUCCUAUUUCAGAAGAAGAGAAUGCAUUUUGAUUAUGCCAUUUCUAUAUUUUUCAGUUUCUUCAGUAAAGUCUUCUCUUUCAGAUAGCUUACUUGUUGUCUAUGAUCCUACCAUGUCUAAUGAGAUCAUUAGUUUCCAAGGCCGUUACCCGUAAAGAAUCUGUAUCAGUGAUAUUAAUGCUAAAAUCCAAUUAUCAAGCAUUUAACACGAUCAUAGUCCAUUGGCUAUCCAAUGCCAAUUUCUCCUGCCCCAGAGGUAAGAAUCAUUAGCGUAUAAGAGGGGGAAGGGGGAAGGGGGAAGCAAAGAAACCAGAUUGUGCUUUAGAUUAUAGUGGGCACUAAGAAACACAUAGAGAGUCGUUCUUCCAUCAAGUUAAAGUUACAGAAAAUACUUGUAAAAGUUAUAAAGACUGUGACAACCGGGAGCUAGAUUAGAGGACCACAAAAUCUGCCGUUUGGCUAGAGCAUAAUUCUACCUUGAUAGUUAAGCUAUCAUUUCCUUGAGUUCAUGGUAAUAACAUUAUCUAGUGCAUCAAAAGCAGCUAUUGUGUGAUAAUCUAUAUUGAUGACUUGUAUGCUGGGAUUUUUGCUAUUGGAGUUAUCCUUGUUCCCAACAGCCUUUGGCCGUUGUGAUUGCUGGCUGCAUUGCCAAAAAUUAUAUGAGGGAGCUCUCUUCAGUCCACUCAUGGGUGGGCGGAGGGAUUGAAUUAGCUGCCGACUCAUUCAUUCAAACACAAUAGAAAGGAUCAUGGGAUUGUGCUACUGUGAAUGUGUGAAUGAUGCGGGAGGUAAACCACAUCCUUCUCUUCUCUGUGCUUGGACUGAAGGGAGCUCCCUUUCAUUGAUUUCUUCUAUUGUGUUAGCCAUAGCUUUAUUCGAAAUUCUGUGUUGGAAGAGGAUUCUCCUAUUCUUCUAUCAAUCAUCGCCGGAAGUACAUUGCAAAUGAUUCGAUCAAAUUGCAGGUAUGUUAUCAUUCACUAUAUAGCUACUUCAGAUGAUUUUUGGACUCACACUGGUGCUCUUAAUUUGUAUGGUUGUAGUUAAUUCCAGAGUGCACAAUUCAACUAUUUCCCACUUCCUUACAAACUAGAUCUUUCUAUGUCACAAUGAUUCUCUAGACUUUUUAGUAGGAUUUUUUUGGCUUUCAACAUAUAUAUGCUCAGAAGAUGCAUCAUCCACUAUCCUCUUGUGACAUUCACAUUGUAUUUCAAGUCGGCGAGGAUCAAAACCCAAAAUGUGCUCUCACAAUCUAAAUUUCUAAUUUGACUUGAAAGGGCUUACUAACUUAAGCUGCCAUAGAAUUUUGUCAGAGGGACAAUUCAGGAGAGCUUUUGGUGCCACAAUCCAAUUUUCCCUUUCUUUUUACAUGAUUUCUGCAUGACUUUGAUAUUUACAUACUCAGGCAUCAUCAAAAGGUAAGCAGUGUAAAAUUGAGUGGACGUACACGCUUUCAGGUGUCUUGAGUUUUGGCUGAGAGAGGAGCUUCAAUGACAAGAAUUCUAUCUGAAAUUUGACAUACCUAAUAGCAUUAACAGUUUCUGUAUGUCUGAAUUUACAGUUCACAAACUAGUUCUGCUUGGGAACCUGGAUUGUAUUUUGCAAGCUAGGGUCAAGGCCUUCAAGAUCCCUCAAAUUUCAGUCAGUCUGUACUCUAAAUACGAUGGUAAUAACAAUAAUUCUAGAAAGUUCCUCAAAAUGUAGUUAAACAAUUUAGAGAAAUUCCUUGUAUUGUGCCUAAUGUUGUGAGAUUUCAGAUAUUGUAAAUGAAGCUUUUUUCUUUAAAGAAGCCAGUGUACAUACCUGAUUUCCAGUUACUUUCAGUGUUUUCUUCUUCUCAGGUAUGUCCUGCUUCGUUGUUGUUGUUUGUUCAAAAAUGGUUUUUGGUAGUAGUACUUUGUUUGGUCUCGUCCUGGCAAGCUAGCCCUUUUAGUUUGAUCUUGCGCUACAUUUGUCCCAUUUUUAAUUUGAGCUAUCAGCGCAUUCAUUCAUUCCUCUCCAGUGAAAGAUUUCAGCUAAAAACUGGUUGUAAGAGGUCGAAAAGAUUUUGCUCUCUGGAGUACAAAGGUAUAUUAGCGUACUUGUGCGAGCAGUAUAAACCCGGUGUUGGACCUGUUGGUUUUUUAGUUCCACUAUUCAGUUUUCAGGCCGGUGGGUUGUUUGCAGGAAUAAAUACUUUCGUGCCCACUUGAAAAAAAGACCCGGUUUUUGGUCUAAUGGGUUUUGGCAUUGGAACUUGUAUCUAAUCUUAAAUUUUAAUGUAGGAACCUAUUAGAGUUUGUUGAAUAUCGCCACUUUCUGGGAAGUGAUGAAUCUCUCCUGGACUCCUUAAUUUAGUCUCCACUGAAUGUCUACAUAUGGGAAAAUGUAUCAAGUGUUUGUUCUGCAAUAGUUUUUUUAUGGGAAAUAACACUCAAACGGCAACAGUAGGUAAGGUUAAGAUGAUGCAUUCUGAGAAAGUGGAGGUCGGGUGGGGUAAACAGCAUGAUUCUCUGCCGCCUCUCCAUCCAAUUAACGGGGCGGUUUCUUAUCAGCCUACCUCGUUAUGUGUUUCAACAGUACGGCCUUAACCCUAGCUAAGCUGCAGAGCAGGCCACCAUGGACUCAGUCCCCCCCCCCCCAAGCCUCCUCUCUCUCUCUCUCUCUCUCUCUCCUUUUCUUUUUUUUUUUGGGUUGGCUUCUUGCACUUCUUUUCUUGACCUCCCAACCCAUUAAAUAAGGUGCCUAAAAAUGGCUUUUACUACUGGUUGUGCUCUUGUAUAAAGUUAUAUAUUCUACCAACUACUGUUGUCUCUAAAGAUUCUGAUGAAGCAAAGUGGAGUUGAGUAGGACUAGUAGUAUUAAAAAGGCUACUUCAUUGUGCUGUCCCAGAAUACAAAGUACAGGUUUUAUUGCAUUUUAAUCACUUUUUCCUGCAAAACAAGCUCCUGAUCAGAUUUGAUUACUUGUUUCUUUCAAGGAUGAGAUCUUCUUCUUUUGCUGGUGCUUGCACGAAUACUCUUUUUACUUUGCUAAACUAAUUUUGGACGCUGUGCUUAGAAGGCACAUUUAAAAGCGACUAGCAUUGUAUGCCAGUGGGAGAUGAACUCGGGAGUUUUCGGCAUUUCUGCCAUUGGUUCAACUCAUUUUAUUAUGCCUAACAACCAGCCACUCGGCUCUGCUGCAUUUGCUUGAUUGUUGUUUUUCAAUGGAUAUCGUUUUCGUCUACGUAAGGUUGAAAUAUCCUUCUGUUUGUUUUUUCAAUCGAAUCAAAAAUAGAAAAAUAUGAAGGAAAAAUUUCAUGGUGAGGAACUGUGUAAUAAAUGGAUUAUGUACGUGGCUUUGGGCAUUCAUAACCUUCUUGCACUUAUUAAAUAUACUACGUGAUUGACUUGAUAAAUUUUCGGCCUU